ACCUGACUGGCUCAGUCAGUAAAGCACGUGACUCUUGAUGUCAGGGUUGUGAGUUCAAGCCCCACGUUGGGUG
rnacentral:tRNA from 1 species